rnacentral:rRNA from 1 species
AGAGUUUGAUCCUGGCUCAGAAUCAACGCUGGCGGCGUGCCUAACACAUGCAAGUCGAACGAGAAAGUGGUAGCAAUACCAUGAGUAAAGUGGCGCACGGGUGAGUAACACGUGACUAACCUACCCUUGAGUGGGGGAUAACUGAGGGAAACCUUAGCUAAUACCGCAUAAUACCCACGGGUCAAAGGAGCAAUUCGCUCGAGGAGGGGGUCGCGGCCGAUUAGUUAGUUGGCGGGGUAAUGGCCCACCAAGACGAUGAUCGGUAUCCGGCCUGAGAGGGCGCACGGACACACUGGAACUGAAACACGGUCCAGACUCCUACGGGAGGCAGCAGUGGGGAAUUUUGCGCAAUGGGGGAAACCCUGACGCAGCAACGCCGCGUGGAGGAUGAAGUCCUUCGGGACGUAAACUCCUUUCGAUCGGGACGAUUAUGACGGUACCGGAAGAAGAAGCCCCGGCUAACUUCGUGCCAGCAGCCGCGGUAAUACGAGGGGGGCGAGCGUUGUUCGGAAUUAUUGGGCGUAAAGGGUGCGUAGGCGGUUUGGUAAGUCUUUUGUGAAAUCUCUGGGCUCAACUCAGAGUCUGCAGGAGAAACUGCCGGGCUGGAGUGUGGGAGAGGUGAGUGGAAUUUCCGGUGUAGCGGUGAAAUGCGUAGAUAUCGGAAGGAACACCUGUGGCGAAAGCGGCUCACUGGACCACAACUGACGCUGAUGCACGAAAGCUAGGGGAGCAAACAGGAUUAGAUACCCCCGUAGUCC